UUUCGCAAUGCCCGAAAGGGUGACGAAGCGACGCCGCGUGGGUGAAGAAGGCCUUCGGGUUGUAAAGCCCUGUCAGGAGUUAAGAAAUGUAGGUGCGAUAAUACCGUACCUAUUUGACAAAGGCUCCAAAGGAAGCCACGGCUAACUCUGUGCCAGCAGCCGCGGUAAUACAGAGGUGGCAAGCGUUGUUCGGAAUUAUUGGGCGUAAAGAGCACGUAGGUGGAUUUGUAAGUCAGGUGUGAAAGCCUUCUGUUCAACGGAAGAAUUGCAUCUGAAACUGCAAACCUUGAGUGUAGGAGGGGAGAAUGGAACUUCUGGUGGAGCGGUGAAAUGCGUAGAUAUCAGAAGGAACGCCGGCGGCGAAAGCGAUUCUCUGGCCUAUUACUGACACUGAGUGUGCGAAAGCUAGGGGAGCAAACGGGAUUAGAUACCCCGGUAGUCCUAGCCGUAAACGAUGGGCACUAAGUAGAGGGGUUUUA
rnacentral:rRNA from 1 species